GAUGAACGCUGGCGGCGUGCCUAAUACAUGCAAGUCGAGCGAACAGACAAGGAGCUUGCUCCUCUGACGUUAGCGGCGGACGGGUGAGUAACACGUGGAUAACCUACCUAUAAGACUGGGAUAACUUCGGGAAACCGGAGCUAAUACCGGAUAAUAUAUUGAACCGCAUGGUUCAAUAGUGAAAGACGGUUUUGCUGUCACUUAUAGAUGGAUCCGCGCCGCAUUAGCUAGUUGGUAAGGUAACGGCUUACCAAGGCGACGAUGCGUAGCCGACCUGAGAGGGUGAUCGGCCACACUGGAACUGAGACACGGUCAAGACUCCUACGGGAGGCAGCAGUAGGGAAUCUUCCGCAAUGGGCGAAAGCCUGACGGAGCAACGCCGCGUGAGUGAUGAAGGUCUUCGGAUCGUAAAACUCUGUUAUUAGGGAAGAACAAAUGUGUAAGUAACUAUGCACGUCUUGACGGUACCUAAUCAGAAAGCCACGGCUAACUACGUG
rnacentral:rRNA from 1 species